CCCUUAGAUGUUCUGGGCCGCACGCGCGCUACACUGAUGCAUUCAACGAGUCUAAAACCUGCUCUGAUAGGGGUGGGUAAUCUUUUGAAUGUGCAUCGUGAUUGGGAUAGAUGAUUGCAAUUUUUCAUCUUCAACGAGGAAUGCCUAGUAAACGCAAGUCAUCAGCUUGCAUUGAUUACGUCCCUGCCCUUUGUACACACCGCCCGUCGCUCCUACCGAUUGAAUGAUCCGAUGAAUAUCAUGGAUUGAGGAUGCAAGUAGGUUAGCCUAUCUUCAUCUUCGAGAAGUGAAGUAAAUCUUAUCAUUUAGAGGAACGAGAAGUCGUAACA
rnacentral:rRNA from 1 species